UGUAAAGACGACCUCGUUCAUGCUAUAUCGGGGAGUUUCCGCUUGAAUGGUUUGGAAUGUAAAUCUGAUCAGUAAACUGACGGGUCUGAGAGACACACCUUGUCUCACAACACCUUCUGGUACAAGUUAUUUUGGACGUUCGUAUAAUUCACGAUAAGCAAACAUGUCGGACAAAGUGGAACAAGUUUUAGCCUCUGACGAGGCCAACUAUGGGGCCAUUGCUGCUGUUGCAACCCUGCUGAUCCUCGUUGUAGCAGUUCUGUUGUACGACUCCACGUGUCGCGGUAGCAGCAUCAAGAAGAGGAGAGCAAGAAGCGGGAACUAUCAGAUGCACGGAGUCACUGCUGGAACCGGGUAGACCUGCAAUAAUGUAUCCCCAUCAAUCUCGUUACACCGUCACGGAAGAGAAGGACACUGCAUGUAUCGAUGUGAGAGGAUGUUAAAAAAACCCAUCUCACUAAUUUCUCCCUGGACGAUGACAAUAUACUUUCAAAAGUUACUUUUAUGACUUGGCUUUUAUGAUAAUAUUUUUGUGAUAAGCAUCUACGCAAAAAGCGACAUCAGUCUUAUGAAUUCCCGCCCACGUUAUAACGGGGCAGUACAUUUCUUAUACAACACAUUUUGUAUACUGCCUUAGAGCAGUGAAAAUCUAUUCAUCCGGAACAAACCAUCGGUUUUUAUUAUUGUCUAUACCCGAAAGUCAAAUGUCAGAUUUCUUCCCUCUUGUAAUGGCUAAUGCGUGUUUGUACAGGGAUGUUGUAAUUAUGUCAUACGACAUAUGGUAGUUUACCUUUUAUACUUUAUUUGUUUCAUAAAUACUCAGAACAUGGCAUAAUAGUCAUAACUAAAGGAUUGCACUCACCAUAGGAAACUACACGUCCAUGCAUUAGAUCAUUGAUUAAUCUCUUUAGUUAACCAUCCAAUAUCCACGGCCAUGUAUUAUCACUCAGAGAAAUUGACUGUUCGGACAUACCAUUUUUUCUUCACGUUUUGGGGAACAAUUAAAUGCAAAUUUU